rnacentral:lncRNA from 13 species
AGCCUCUCAGCCUACAUCUUUCUCCUAUACUGGAUGCAGAAAGAUCUUGGACAUCAGACUUCAAGAUCUUCAGUUUGGGGACAUAGACUGGCUCGCCUUCCUCUUCAGCUUGCAUACAGCCUAUUGUGGGAUCUUGUGGCAGUAGGAAACAUCUUCCCCAGCUCCAAUGGUGGCAACAUCCCCUCUCCAACCCAUGCUGCCAUCAGUCUUUCCACCUUUGCCUGAGGAGAAAAACUCUGUGCUGCCUGAGGCAACAGUGAUGGCCACCCUGAGCUUACUUGAAACACAUAAUCAUGGUGACCCAGUAAGCCAUGUGCUAGCAUGGCUAGAGCUUCAAGACUAAAGAACUCUAGGACCUGGAAUCCACUUGGAAGAGAGGCAUGUACUACUCAAGAAAAUGUGUUUGUGUUAUAUGCUUGUAAACACUAACUUCUGCCAAAUCAGCUGUAUUUGUUGGUGGUGAUAAUAGUCAUUUAUUAUAGCAGUGAUUAUUACCCUAAGAAAUAAUGGUACAGAAUGUGAAUUGGUAACUCUGUGGGGUACUCUGAGGACUAAGAAAAGCAGGAUAUUGAGAAAGGAAUAGAUUCCAGGAAUAGAAGAAACCAGUUGUAGAACAUGUUGCCUGGUUCCCUUGUGCUGCACUGGACAGUUAAUAAGAACAAUGGAUUCACCAAGCAGAGUUAAAUGAAUCUGGAAGGACACAGUGCAAAUUUUCUCAGAGUGUCCAUUUCGAACAGCAGUUUAUUCAACUUAAUAAAUAUUACAAAAUAAAAGGGUUUGCUACCA